AUUGAACGCUGGCGGCAGGCCUAACACAUGCAAGUCGAACGAGUGGCGGACGGGUGAGUAAUGUCUGGGAAACUGCCCGAUGGAGGGGGAUAACUACUGGAAACGGUAGCUAAUACCGCAUACCAUCGGAUGUGCCCAGAUGGGAUUAGCUAGUAGGUGGGGUAACGGCGCACCAAGGCGACGAUCCCUAGCUGGUCUGAGAGGAUGACCAGCCACACUGGAACUGAGAGACGGUCCAGACUCCUACGGGAGGCAGCAGUGGGGAAUAUUGGACAAUGGGCGAAAGCCUGAUGCAGCCAUGCCGCGUGUGUGAAGAAGGUAUUCGGAUUGUAAAAUACUUUCGUCGGGGAGGCGUUACCCGCAGAGGAAGCAACGGCUAACUCCGUGCCAGCAGCCGCGGUAAUAC
rnacentral:rRNA from 1 species